CCCUUAGAUGUUCUGGGCGGCCCGCGCACUACAUUGGCACUCUCAAUAAGUUCCUAGAUCUAAAACUUUGGGGUAUUCUAUUAAGUGGUGUCGUGACUGGGAUUAACCCUUGCAAUUAUUGGUUACGAACGAGGAAUUCCUUGUAAUCGCGGUUUAUCAGCCCGCGUUGAAUGCGUCCCUGCCCUUUGUACACACCGCCCGUCGCUCCUACCGAUGAAUCGUCCGGUGAAGUUCAUGGAGUGGUGGUUGUUCCGGCUGCUGUCGAAGUGAAAUGGACCUCACGAUUUAGAGGAAGGAGAAGUCGUAACA
rnacentral:rRNA from 1 species